UACGGAGGGUGCAAGCGUUAUCCGGAUUUACUGGGUUUAAAGGGUGCGUAGGUGGGUAGGUAAGUCAGUGGUGAAAUCUCCGGGCUUAACCCGGAAACUGCCAUUGAUACUAUUUAUCUUGAAUACUUUGGAGGUAAGCGGAAUAUGUCAUGUAGCGGUGAAAUGCUUAGAUAUGACAUAGAACACCAAUUGCGAAGGCAGCUUACUAAAUUGUAACUGACGCUGAGGCACGAAAGCGUGGGGAUCAAACAGG
rnacentral:rRNA from 1 species